GACGAACGCUGGCGGCGUGCUUAACACAUGCAAGUCGAACGGAAACGCCCUGCUUUUGUGGUGUGCUCGAUUGGCGCACGGGUGCGUAACACGUGCGUAACCUGACCUUGACUUUGGGAUAACUUCAGGACACUGGGGCUAAUACCGGAUAGGCGCUCCUGCUGCAUGGUGGGGGUUGGAAAGUUUCGGCGGGUGGGGAUGGACUCGCGGCUUAGCAGCUUGUUGGUGGGGUAGUGGCUUACCAAGGGAUUGACGGGUAGCCGGCCUGAGAGGGUGACCGGGCAAAUGGGGAGAGUGAUACGGCACAGAGUCGUACGGGAGGGAGGAGUGGGGAAGAGUGCACGAUGGGCGGAAGCCGGAUGCAGGAACGCCGCGUGAGGGAUGACGGCCUUCGGUUUGAAAACCGCUUUGGCCUGUGACGGAGCGUGAGUGACGGUAAUGGGUAAAGAAGCACCGGCUAACUACGUG
rnacentral:rRNA from 1 species